AAACUUUCUGCCUCGGGCUGAUGGGUGGUAAACUGUGUGAUCCAGCUCUUUGCUUCUGUUCAAUAACUUUCUGAGAACUUUCUAUAGCAGCGAACGGUGAUGCUAUGCCUAGCGUGACACACCAUGGAAUGGCCGUAUCCUGAAUGCAGAAGCAGAGGACUGGAGGGCACAUCAAUAAGAAUAUAUGGUGACCACAGCUGAAGGACAGGGCAGGCCAUGUGAGUUGGAACACGGUUUCUCAGAAACCAAAUUAAGCAGCCUCCCUUUGACUCCAGAAUAGAGAAAAUUUGCCCCCCAUCUGUGUAAGAGUGGAAGUUUCAUCAUUGUGGAGGACGUCUAACAACACACAGCAAUUCUUUUAGGAUCAGAGGGAAUGUCUACAUUUCUUCACUGUGGGAAUUUAUUUACAUGUA
rnacentral:lncRNA from 1 species